GGCUGGAUAGCUCAGUCGGUAGAGCACCGGAACAGUAAUCCAGGGGUCGCAGGUUCAAACCCCGCUCCAGUCA
rnacentral:tRNA from 1 species